rnacentral:rRNA from 1 species
AGCUAUAAGUUCUCUGUAUCGCAGCUAACGCAAUAAGCACUCCGCCUGGGGAGUACGACCGCAAGGUUGAAACUCAAAGGAAUUGACGGKGGCCCGCACAAGCGGUGGAGCAUGUGGUUUARUUCGAAGCAACGCGAAGAACCUUACCAGGUCUUGACAUACUCGUGCUAUUCCUAGAGAUAGGAAGUUCCUUCGGGACACGGGAUACAGGUGGUGCAUGGUUGUCGUCAGCUCGUGUCGUGAGAUGUUGGGUUAAGUCCCGCAACGAGCGCAACCCCUAUUGUUAGUUGCCAUCAUUAAGUUGGGCACUCUAACGAGACUGCCGGUGAUAAACCGGAGGAAGGUGGGGAUGACGUCAAAUCAUCAUGCCCCUUAUGACCUGGGCUACACACGUGCUACAAUGGAUGGUACAACGAGUCGCGAGACAGUGAUGUUUAGCUAAUCUCUUAAAACCAUUCUCAGUUCGGAUUGUAGGCUGCAACUCGCCUACAUGAAGUCGGAAUCGCUAGUAAUCGCGGAUCAGCACGCCGCGGUGAAUACGUUCCCGGGCCUUGUACACACCGCCCGUCACACCACGGGAGUUGGGAGUACCCGAAGUAGG